CAAGAGGUAGAAGGAGUAUUUGGUAAUGGUUUCAAAAGGGAACUGAGAGGCAGUAAAGGUCUCUGAGGAUAUUGUAAUGUGCUUCAGUGAACAGAUAUGUGCUUCUGGCUUUGAACAGAUUCUGCCACACAUCACAAGCAUUCACGUCUUGGAGGAGACAAGAGAAGGAGCAGAGGACCUGUUGGAAGCUGUGGCUCAGAGUGAGGGAGUAGAGUCAGAGCGCAUGGAUUUCAAGUCUUGGGUCUGCUAAUGAAGGACAAAUAAUUUAAGAAGAGUCCUGGGGCUAAGCAGUGAUCAAGUUUUCCAGAAGCUACAUAAUAUGUGCUAUCACAACAGAUUGAAUCUUGAAGCAAACACAAGAAUCCAGCUGUCUUCUAUUAGGCCAGACAUUAAAGAGACUUCCAAAAACGUGAAACGAUAUCACCUUCUCACUGAUUGGUUUUGGGAAAUGGAAUUUGUAUAGAAGUGUGUUAUUUAUAUAAACAUGUAAUGCAUUUAUUUUUAUUUCUAAAUGAAUUAAUACAUAUUUUUUAAAUGUCUCAGUUUUAA